CCGACCGCCCCAGGCACAGGCCCACGCUCGCUCGAGAGCGCGAACAAAGACCCCAGGCCGCUCCCGGCGUCCCUCUACUCGCUAUUGGGGGCGUGGCCUCCCAGGCUCACUCCAUUGGUUCUCCCAGUGAUAGAUCGGGCCCCCAGCCAACUGCAGUCCAGGUAGGACGCGUGCGUAUACAAGAGUUAGUGCCCUUGUGGGAAAAACCCUAACCCGAGGAAUUGAGUUAGGACCAGCCUCCGGGGCUGCGAGGCGCAUGCGUGAGUCUCAAGGUCCAGCGGCCUGCAUUUCCGGAAGUGUGGCGUCUUCGCGUGGGGGCCCCGGAGCCCUGGCCCGCGUCAGCAUCACAUUCGGCCCAGUUGCCGCGGAGAUGAGGGAGAAGCCGAGGAUCUCGGCCUCUGCCCUCGGGGGCGACGCGACUGUCCCCAGGCACAGCCUGUGAUGUCACUUCUCCGGGCGUUUCUCAUCCUCCACGUGGCAUCGGACGGAGGGAGGGCCCUGUCUUCAAAGUGCUAUGUCUUUGCCCCUUCGGCACACAUGUGGAGUCCCCUGCGCUUGCUCCUUCCUCUCGGUCUCCGUUCCCGGACUCCCUGCGGCCUGCCUCAGCCUCCACUGCUCCAGAGCUGCUCUCAGCAGGGUGUAGGCCUCUGUAGCUGUAUCCCUCCGCCUUGCCCCGACGGCAUUAAGCUCUCACCAAGAAGUCAUGUAUUCAGCACCCAACUAAAAAGGGUUCAGGGCUGGGGAUUGAGCUCAGUGGUUCUGCCGCCUGCCUUGCAUGCAGAAGGACCCGAGUUCAAUCCCCAGUACCAAAAAAUAAAAAUUAAAAAACUAAAAAGGGUUCAGUGUUUUACUGAACCAGAGGGAUGGGGUGUACACGUCAUCAAACUUGUUGAAAGACCAGAGUGGUGGCCAGAUAAUGGCUUGUCGCAGACCUCAGGAGGGCGCUGUCAGUGCAGGGAGCUGGGAGGCAUUGCCGUGCUGUGGAAAGCAAGGGUUUUGCCCGAGUGUGGCUCACACCGGGAGAGGCUGGUCUUCCGGAGAAGACCUGGGGAGAGCUGCCUCUCCUCAGGGUGGUAUCUGUCACCUCCCAAUGUGGAGUUGCCCCCUAAUCCCCAUCUGCAGCUGGAUCCAUCCUGA
rnacentral:lncRNA from 1 species